rnacentral:lncRNA from 1 species
UCCAAAGAGCACGCAGAGUGUAUCAGUUGCUUUGCUUGUUCCUGAGACAAAAUAUUUGGCAGAAGCAGUUAAGAGAGAGGUUUAUUCAGCUUACAGUUGCAGAGCGUCUGGGCCGUCAUGGCAACUGGUCAGCACUAACUGUAGCAACAGGUGUUAAGUGGCAGCUUCCAUGUCCUGGUGACCUGGAAAGCAACAGUAGAACUAACACCGAGGCAGGCUCUAAUCCUCAAGGCCCACCCCUCACCAAUAGGCAGGGUCUUAGGGUUUUACUGCUGUCAACAGACACCAUGACCAAGGCAACUUUAAAAAAAAAAAC